AUGGAGCACCAAGUUUUGCGUGAAGCUAAGGACUUUCAGGGUAUCCUUUUUGGCUCCUUGUUCUUGGCACUGCUUGAGGUGCUGAAGUUGCCGAUACCUGAAGUCAAAGUGUGGUGCAAGGAGGGAGGAAGCUACUGGAACCUUUGCGUCCAUGUUCCGGGACGCAAGAAGCCAAAAACUAAGGACAUCUCCAUCUUGGACAUUGCCACGACGAAGAAACAAGCAAUCAACAAAGCCAUGCAUGAGGUGGUGACUAGACUUACCUACCUAUAUCAAGAAGAGUUGCAUCGGCUAGGAGUCCAGACCUUUGGAAAGCGAACCGCCACCGAUGAGUUCCCGUGA
rnacentral:rRNA from 1 species